AUUGAACGCUGGCGGCAUGCUUUACACAUGCAAGUCGAACGGCAGCGCGGGCUUCGGCCUGGCGGCGAGUGGCGAACGGGUGAGUAAUACAUCGGAACGUGCCCAGUAGUGGGGGAUAGCUCGGCGAAAGCCGGAUUAAUACCGCAUACGACCUGAGGGUGAAAGCGGGGGAUCUUCGGACCUCGCGCUAUUGGAGCGGCCGAUGGCAGAUUAGUUAGUUGGUGGGGUAAAGGCCUACCAAGGCGACGAUCUGUAGCUGGUCUGAGAGGACGACCAGCCACACUGGGACUGAGACACGGCCCAGACUCCUACGGGAGGCAGCAGUGGGGAAUUUUGGACAAUGGGCGAAAGCCUGAUCCAGCAAUGCCGCGUGUGUGAUGAAGGCCUUCGGGUUGUAAAGCACUUUUGGCGGGAACGAAAAGGACUGUGCCAAUACCACGGUUCGAUGACGGUACCUGCAGAAUAAGCACCGGCUAACUACGUG
rnacentral:rRNA from 1 species